GGUAGAGUGGAGGGGACGAGGGACAAGCAGGAGGUUGGAACCAGCCGAGCAGAAGUGGUGAGGCAGUGGAGUGGGGAAUAAGCAAAUCAGAGAGGUAAAAAGGUGCCAAGGAACAAAGGAAUUUGUAGACAAGAGUGAGGUUCUUGAAAUUAAUCUGUUCUGUGAUAGGGAACUAGUGAAGCCUGGCCAGGACCGGUUUGAUGGGGUAUGGAGUUUGGUACUGGCGGCAAAAUCUAGUACAGACACGUUAAUUUCACACCAUCCUUUGGCAGACGUUAAUGAGAACUCACAGGGUGUAAGCCAAAAGCAGGAAGUGUUACACUGGAAGAGAGCAGUGACGGGGCCAAAUGUCCUGAAUUCCAGCCGAGAGGAUAUGUGGAUGAGUGAACUUAUCCACAGCCUUCACCAGUUUGAGUU